rnacentral:tRNA from 1 species
GAGAAGAGUUUAGAAACACAGAAAACUGCUAAUUAUCUAUCCGUGGUUAAACUCCACGAUCUACUCA